UAGAGUUUGAUCCUGGCUCAGGAUGAACGCUAGCUACAGGCUUAACACAUGCAAGUCGAGGGGCAGCUGGGAGUAGCAAUAUCCCGCAGGCGACCGGCGAAUGGGUGAGUAACGCGUAUCCAACCUGGCCCUUACACGGGGAUAGCCCUUAGAAAUGAGGAUUAAUACCCGGCGGUGUGGCAUGACCGCAUGGGAAAGCCACUGAAGAUUUAUCGGUAAGGGAUGGGGAUGCGUCCGAUUAGGCAGUUGGCGGGGUAACGGCCCACCAAACCGACGAUCGGUAGGGGUUCUGAGAGGAAGGUCCCCCACAUUGGUACUGAGACACGGACCAAACUCCUACGGGAGGCAGCAGUGAGGAAUAUUGGUCAAUGGGCGAGAGCCUGAACCAGCCAAGUAGCGUGAAGGAUGACGGCCCUAUGGGUUGUAAACUUCUUUUGUCGGGGGAUAAAGUCGCUCACGCGUUGGGCGUUUGCAGGUACCCGAUGAAUAAGGACCGGCUAAUUCCGUGCCAGCAGCCGCGGUAAUACGGAAGGUCCGAGCGUUAUCCGGAUUUAUUGGGUUUAAAGGGAGCGUAGGUGGAAGCGUAAGUCAGCCGUCAAAUAUCGGAGCUCAACUCCGUCCAGCGGUUGAUACUGCGUUUCUUGAGUGCACAAGAGGCAGGUGGAAUUCGAGGUGUAGCGGUGAAAUGCUUAGAUAUCUCGAAGAACUCCGAUUGCGAAGGCAGCCUGCUGGGGUGUAACUGACACUGAGGCUCGAAGGUGCGGGUAUCAAACAGGAUUAGAUACCCUGGUAGUCCGCACAGUAAACUAUGGAUGCUCGCGGUGCGCGCGUUGGUGUACGCCGCCUAGCGAAAGCGUUAAGCAUCCCACCUGGGGAGUACGCCGGCAACGGUGAAACUCAAAGGAAUUGACGGGGGCCCGCACAAGCGGAGGAACAUGUGGUUUAAUUCGAUGAUACGUGAGGAACCUUACCCGGGCUCGAACGGUGCAGGAAGAGAUCCAGAGAUGGUGACGUCCCUUCGGGGACCUGUAUCGAGGUGCUGCAUGGUUGUCGUCAGCUCGUGUCGUGAGAUGUUGGCUCAAGUGCCAUAACGAGCGCAACCCUUGCUGUCAGUUACCAGCACGUAGUGGUGGGGACUCUGACAGGACUGCCACCGUAAGGUGUGAGGAAGGCGGGGAUGACGUCAAAUCAGCACGGCCCUUACGUCCGGGGCGACACACGUGUUACAAUGACAGCUACAGAGGGAAGCUACCUGGUGACAGGAUGCAGAUCUCGAAAAGCUGCCUCAGUUCGGACUGGAGUCUGCAACCCGACUCCACGAAGCUGGAUUCGCUAGUAAUCGCGCAUCAGCCAUGGCGCGGUGAAUACGUUCCCGGGCCUUGUACACACCGCCCGUCA
rnacentral:rRNA from 1 species